CGCUCGGGAGCCUCUCGGAAUAAAUAUUUCCAGGCUCCGGGCCACGGGCUGGCGAGACCCCGCGGGGUGGCCGCAGGCCAAAGAUUAUUUAUAGCGGUAAGCGGUCGGUGCCCGGAGGCAGCAACUACAGAUGGGGGUUGGAGUUUCCUCCGCUCUCCGGUGUGGCCCGCGCAGGGACCCGGCGGCCCUCGGAGGACUCUGCAGGGCGGGGUCACGGGCCCAGAGCCGCGAUUUUCCUAAUGCAUUUUGCCCUGGAAAUAACGGAGACGGACUUUGGUUGCCGCCCUGGAGUUUGGAACCCGAGCGCGGGGCGGGGCGGGACCGGGCAGGGCGACCCGCGCAGAAAACUACUUCCAGCUAAAUGUGCACACACGCCAGUACAGCCGAAAAGUGACUCUGCAGAACCCGGAGCCCUAAUCACUUUUCCACAUGCGCCUCCGGCCCGGCGCGCGACGGGGAACGAGCUGGGAGCGCCCGCGCAGCCAGGAGGGGGGCUGGGCCGCGGGAACGCUGUCCCCCUCCCAGGCUGGAAGGCGGGGAUAAUUCCCCCUGCCGUGCAGCCCUUCUAGACGGCGUCUACCCCUUUAAGAAAAAUCUAGGCGGAGGUGGGGUGCGACAGAAGGGGUGGUGAGGCGAGGGUUUCCCUCCCUCCGUCUGCUAUACCCGUCUCCCUCGCUCCGUCUCACUCUCCGUCUUUCCUCUCCUUCUUUUCCUCUGUUUUUCUUUUCUUUCAACACAAAAGUUGGGUUGUGAAUUUUCCGAGGUCGCCGCCGCCUCGCCCCCACCCCCCGCCUCUGAUCUGCCUAACUAUAAUUAAAGUGCGUUUUUUGUGGCAUUAAUAAAGAGUUAUUUGUCCGCCGUUUCCACGGUCUUCACAAAGAGUACUUUCAUAGGGGCGGCCGCUCGGGCCGCGAGUCCAAUUUAUACAAAAAUGUUGUAUUUUUAGCCCUGGGCUCUGUUUAGAUGGCGCUCGGUGGAAACGGAGAGCCCUUGGAGGUCCCCCCGUAAAAUCUGAUAAAUGACUCCGAAAAAAUAACGCUGGGAUUCAGAGGGCUCUCAUUAACC
rnacentral:lncRNA from 1 species